GGGGUGCAGCAGGCGCGAAAACUUUACAAUGCGGGAAACCGUGAUAAGGGGACACCGAGUGCCAGCAUCAUAUGCUGGCUGUCCAGGUGUGUAAACUACACCUGUUAGCAAGGGCCGGGCAAGACCGGUGCCAGCCGCCGCGGUAACACCGGCGGCCCGAGUGGUGAUCGUGAUUAUUGGGUCUAAAGGGUCCGUAGCCGGUUUGGUCAGUCCUCCGGGAAAUCUGACGGCUCAACCGUUAGGCUUUCGGGGGAUACUGCCAGGCUUGGAACCGGGAGAGGUAAGAGGUACUACAGGGGUAGGAGUGAAAUCUUGUAAUCCCUGUGGGACCACCUGUGGCGAAGGCGUCUUACCAGAACGGGUUCGACGGUGAGGGACGAAAGCUGGGGGCACGAACCGGAUUAGAUACCCGGGUAGUCCCAGCCGUAAACGAUGCUCGCUAGGUGUCAGGCAUGGCGCGACCGUGUCUGGUGCCGCAGGGAAGCCGUGAAGCGAGCCACCUGGGAAGUACGGCCGCAAGGCUGAAACUUAAAGGAAUUGGCGGGGGAGCACAAGGGCGAUUCGCGG
rnacentral:rRNA from 1 species